UGGGGAAUAUUGCACAAUGGGGGAAACCCUGAUGCAGCAACGCCGCGUGAGUGAUGAAGGUCUUCGGAUUGUAAAGCUCUGUCUUUUGGGACGAUAAUGACGGUACCAAAGGAGGAAGCCACGGCUAACUACGUGCCAGCAGCCGCGGUAAUACGUAGGUGGCGAGCGUUGUCCGGAUUUACUGGGCGUAAAGGGUGCGUAGGCGGAUAUUUAAGUGGGAUGUGAAAUACCCGGGCUCAACUUGGGUGCUGCAUUCCAAACUGGAUAUCUAGAGUGCGGGAGAGGAGAGUGGAAUUCCUAGUGUAGCGGUGAAAUGCGUAGAGAUUAGGAAGAACACCAGUGGCGAAGGCGACUCUCUGGACCGUAACUGACGCUGAGGCACGAAAGCGUGGGGAGCAAACA
rnacentral:rRNA from 1 species